rnacentral:lncRNA from 1 species
GUCCUCCUUGCAAGGGAUAUGCAUUAGCACAUACCCAAGAAGGAGAAGAAAAGAAACAAACUUCUGGUACUUCAAAUACCAGAGGAACAAGAAGAAAACCUGCAGCAACUCCUACAAGGAGAUCUACACGUAACACAAAAGCUGAGACAGUCAGUCAAUCUCAGAUAUCUCCAACAUCAAAUAAUUCUGGGUGUGAUGCCCCAGAUUCUAACCUAAAAGACCAAACAAACCAGCAAAUUGAUGGUUCUCAGCUACCUGUAAAUAUGAUGCAACCACAGGUGAAUGUAAUUCCACAACAUGAAUGCCCCCAGCCCCAGCCUAUGAAUAUCUUCCCAUAUCCUGUGGGUGUUCACGCCCCUGUGAUGAACAUCCAGCGCCAUCCCUAUAACAUUCAUCCUCAGCUGCCUGUGCAUCUGCACACAGGAGUGCCUCUCGUGCAGGUAGCCGCUCCUCCCACUGUCACUCAGGGAUUGCCACCGCCACCGCCACCGCCACCGCCCUCCCAGCAAGUCAACUACAUAGCUGCACAGCCAGAUGGAAAACAACUGCAGGGUAUUCCUAAUGCUUCUCAUGUAAGUAAUAACAUGAGUACACCAGUCUUGCCUGCUCCGACAGCAGCCCCAGGAAAUACGGGAACAGUUCAGGGACCAAGUUCUGGUAACACUUCGUCAUCGAGUCACAGCAAAGCCUCUAAUGCUGCUGUAAAAUUGGCAGAAAGCAAAGUAAGUGUUACAGUGGAAGCCAGCGCAGAUAGCUCGAAGACAGACAAGAAAUUACAAAUUCAAGAAAAAGCAGCACAGGAGGUAAAACUGGCGAUUAAGCCAUUUUACCAAAACAAAGAUAUCACCAAGGAAGAAUAUAAAGAGAUUGUACGGAAAGCAGUAGAUAAAGUUUGUCAUAGUAAGAGUGGAGAAGUAAAUUCUACUAAAGUGGCUAAUCUGGUUAAAGCCUAUGUAGACAAAUACAAAUACUCACGGAAGGGGAGCCAAAAGAAAACUGUGGAGGAGCCUGUGUCUGCUGAAAACAACGUAGGCUGAGAUGAGGAACGCUGUAAAGGACAUCAUCAAGACACCUGCGAAGUGCAAUUUCAACAUGACCAUCAGGAGAAAGUCAUGCACAACUGUGACUGAAAUUGGUUUUGAUAAAAUUAUUUUUUUUAAUGUAGGCUAGGCUGUUUUGUUCUAAAUAAAUAUAAUUCUGCACUGCAACUUCCAUAUCCACACCCUCACCUCCAAUAAAUAAAUUCAAGAGAAAGUAAAAGGUUUAAAGGAAUGUGCAUUUUUUACUAGAACUGUGUACUCAUGUGGAUUCUGGAAGGUGUUGUACAGCUUUUUGAUUUGACUGUAGGGUUAUAACAAUGGGGUGCAUAAAUUAGAAACUUCUACGUGCACUGGCUUUGGAAGAGAUAUAUGUAUAAUACUUUUAUUCUGUCAGACUAAAAAAAGUAUGAACUCUGACUUUCUUCCUCUAAUUAUAGAAAGUUAAAUAAUGUAUUACCAUGAAAAAUAUUUCUAAUAAAUAGAACAUACCCAAUUGCAGGGUUCCUAAUGUGUAUUUUUAAAGCACAUAUCUGCUUAGAUAGAAAAUAAAUUAUCACUUGAAUAAAAUUUAGUGUUCAAAACUUUGAGAACUCUUCACCUAUGUGUCACCAAAUAAAGGUUAUGCUGCUGUUUUUCUUUUGUGCCUUUUUUUCCCCCAGUUGAGAUUAAGCAGUUUGAUUUGCUAGAUUAUGACUUAGGCAGUUCAAAGUCAUUGAAUUUAGAAGACCAAUUUGAAAACGUGUUGACUUUGUAAAAAUUAUGUUCUUGCAUCAUAUCUUUUAUGAAAUGAUAAAUUAUUUGUGCCAAGUGGACAGAUGUUUAGUGGGAACCCUCCCUUCCUUGGGACUAAGGUAGAAAUUCCAAGACUGACUCACUGGCUUCAGAUUGUUGCUCAUCUUAUCUAGUCACUUGUGAAAUCUUUCCACAUGUGAAAAAUCCCCAAAUGCUUUACAGCACAUGUAGUGUUAAUUUGAUGACCAUAUCAUAGCCAUUGGUCAUGUUUAAAAUUCUAGAUAUUAAAACCUGUGCUUGACAAAGGGAGAGGAGAAUUAAGUAGUGGAGUUUUUUUGUUUGUUUGUUUUGUUUUUGUUUUGGUACUGGGGAUCAAACUCGGGUCCUUUCCUUGCAAGGCCAGGCAGCAGAACCACUCAGCUAAAUCCCUGGUCCCAAGUAGUGGAGUUUUGAUUAGGCUUCCAAGGACUAGGGAUUCGGUUACUUUUUGAAAGUACAUUUACAAUCUGUUAAUUUUUAUAAAAGGUAAGUUUAAAAUGUUUAUAGCACCUUUACUUGGCAUCUAGAAAGACAAAUGAGUUCUUUCCAUGAUAAGCUAUCUUUCAUUCCAGUAGUGAUUUUCACUAGAUACCAAAUAACUGGAAUGGUAUUAAGAUAACAUGUUAACAGAUCCAAGGUAAAUCAGCACGACUUGGUGAUACAGAUCCUUUUACUCACUACUAGUGAGAGCAAUAAUUGGUGGAACUGCUUUUAUAAAGUUAGAGAUUAUCCCUUUCUCAGUUUUUUGUGCAUAAUACUUUCCUGGUGCUAGGUUUGAUAGACAAAAUAUUUUGAAAUGUUGGACCCCAUGGUGAUUGUGCUUUGUUAAUAAGCUUUGUUAGGUUAGGAUUGGGAUCCUACAAAAUUUUCAAGCAGUUUUUAAUCUUCAUUCUACAUUUCUGGGUGUUUGUAAUAUGGUAUUUUACUUAAAAUAUAUAUAUAUUUUUAAUUAAAGUUUGUGUUCGGAUUAUGGGGAAAGAGGUUUAGAAGUAUGUUUGUUCUAAUGAAGUAUUGAGACAGUUUUAAAUAUCAGUGCACACCUCCGGAGUUGUUUCAGUUUCGAAUUCCAUAAACUGGUGUGAACUUGCAGUCUAUUUUGAAUUAAAGCUGGUUCACGCUUUGAAAUUUUGUGGCAAAUUGCUGUGCCUGAGCUGAUAAAUCACACAAUUCAUGCUUUUCCUGCAUUUUAAGUGACAUUUGGGAAUUGAGUGACUUAAAAAUGUAUUACCAUUCAGCUUUUGCAACAAGGUUUUAAAGUUUUGAAUAAAAGCUAGGUGAUGUGGUGAAGAGUUAAAAGCCCCGUAAAUUAUUUUCAUCAUUCUCAAAAAUAACAAGUAUGUUUGCCAUAUCUGAUUGGUGUACUGGUUGGACUGUAUUUAAAAUUGUUAAUGAAGAAUGUUGCUGGGUUAGAAUUUAAAUUUUUAAACUCUGAACUGUGUAAGAAUGAAUUAGAAAAUGCAUGCUUUACGUUUUUAAAUACAUGGCUUUAACAUUGCCCAUUCCCCCCCCCCCCGAAAUUCACAAUAAUUUUGCAUGUGCACAAACUUAAUCAGAAACAGUUUUGGGGGCUACAGAUUCCUUUUUUCUUUAUCAGGAUUCAGUAUUGACCUUUGACCUUUGAACCUUGGUCCCUUUUUACUUACUAGUCACAUUGACCGAUGUUUUAGAUUAUAGAGAUAACCUAGAAUUUUGAGACUAAUAGUAGUUAGCCGUUAUUUUAACAUUCCAAAAGUUUUGUAAUUUUUGUUGAGUUCUGCUUACCACAUUUUCUGCAUUAUUUUCCUUUAAAUGACUGCACUGUGUGCUGCUUCAGUGUUUCAUCCAAAAGAUGUAGUUUCAGUGGUUGCCCCAGGGUCUGAAACAUUGUAGUAAGAGGUUGGAGUGCUGUCUACUGAAACAUACUCUUAAAUAUGUAGUGUGUAAUAUUUUCUAAUAAAUCCUUUUGAUAAACAAAGUAGUGUCUUUAAUAUUGUAUCACUAAGGUUUCUGGGAAAUGAUGACUUUUACUUUUAUCAUAACCCUUUUAAAAACACAUGUCGAUGUAUUUCAGUCAUGAGUGUCAUAGUUAUAUUAGUGUCCAGGCUCCGAUGCAAGCGUACAGUUUGCUGUCAUAUUUUAACAGCAUUUUUUCCUAAGUACAUCACCAUUGUAGGAAUUUAGAAAAAUUGGUAAAAGAGGGAAGAGUUUCAAAAACAAAAGGAGAGAAAUCACUUGUAAUUCUUCCAAAGGUUUCCCAACUUACGUUGCUGAUUAGACUUCACAUAACUAUCCUUUUCUUUUUGGGUGUAUUGAGAAUUUUUCAUUUUAAUAAAAACUAUUGUACAGAAUAACUCAAUGGCCAUAUUCUGUUUUGGGGUUUUUUUUUGUGUUUUUUUUUUGGUACUGAGGAUCAAACUCGGGACCUUGCACUUGCAAGGCAGGCACCAGAACCACUGAGCUAAAUCCCUAGCCUGGCCAUACUCUAUUAAACAGGUGUUCUCUUUUAAAAUAAUCCUCUAUUGUUGGGAAUUAAGUUUUUGCAGCACAGAUUUUUACUAAUACACA